rnacentral:rRNA from 1 species
UGAGCAAUCUGCCCUUCUCUUUGGAAUAAGCGUUGGAAACGACGUCUAAUGCCGAAUACGACCUCCUUUCGCAUGAUCGGAGGUGGAAAGCUCCGGCGGAGAAGGAUGAGCUCGCGGCCUAUCAGCUAGUUGGUGUGGGUAAUGGCCCACCAAGGCGACGACGGGUAGCCGGCCUGAGAGGGUGACCGGCCACACUGGGACUGAGACACGGCUCAGACUCCUACGGGAGCAG